UUCACUAGAAAUUCAGCUCGACUGUAAUUCUUGUCGAAGACUAUCUCUGCAAUUUGGUUCAUAAAGCUUGGAGUCUCCAAGUCAGUUCGCCCAUGUCCAUCUAGAAUCAAAUUCUCUUCAAUCUGGCCGUCAUUAUCAACUUUAUUGUUGGCGUUAUUUACCCAUUCGACACUGACAGAUCGGCUCCUGAUUCUGGCACUCACUUCUUAGGUUCAUCUGGGCAUCUCAUGCUUCUUUCGGCGGCAGUGGCCUUUACGUAACCUAAACCGUCGUAUAUCAGAGUUCUCAUCAUGAAAGUUAUCCUUCUACUUACUUGCUUUGCUGGCCCCCAACCUACAUUGAUACUCCUUGGCACCGCCACGGUAGUGUUGAUGGGCCUCCAUCUGCUGAACAUCAUAGGGAGCACUCACCGGAACAUUCUAACUGAACGUGAGGCAAAUCGGCAUGGACACGGAGAUCGUCGUUUACCUCAUCUUUUGUUUCCUUGGACUCGGCACCCUUCCGUCCUUCGAUUCGCGCCAGGAGAAUUACGGAUUCAUCUCAAACUCGUCUACCGAUUUCGGAAAGAGCUCUGCUAUGACCCAACGAUCAUCUAGUCCACUGUGCCAACCGCUGCUUCGUUGGUGCUUGACUGCUUGGUUGGUUCUAAGGUUAGUGAUGUUGCUUUCCAAUAUGGCAUGUUGUUGCAGCCUACACUGGUGAAAGAAUUUUUGCAUCGAGUUAUACUGUUGCUGUUCCUUGGUGCCGGACUGCUGGUGUUGAGCACAAAAGUUACAUAAAGUUUUAAUUGUUAUUUGUGUCUAUACAGUUAACUGUUUAUAUGUUGAAAAGGAACAGAAACAGUUCCUUGGUGUUGAAUCGCUGGUGUUAUGCUACAGGAGUUACAUCCAGUAUUUUAUCUAAUUGCUAUUUGCGUUUAUGAAGUUAACCGUUUAUAUGUUGAGGAUGAAAAAAAAAGUAAUACGGGGAAUUUGUACAAAUAAUAAACAUGCCUUCGCGAUUGGGAAACCAACGAGGAGGAGAUUGGGGGGGGGGGAUUUGAUUUUCAUUAACAAGAAAUCGUAGUUGGUUUAAUAAGAUAGAAAUAAAAUCCUUUGUUAAUCACAUCCAUAUACCAACCCAUGCAUCCACAUCUAUUCCUCAAACCCGAUAGCCUCCACCAACAUCUAUUCCUUAAACCCCAAUUUCCCCACAAAUGUUUGUAAUAUCUGUAUAAUAUUGUUGAGUAAAUAAACUAUAUAUAUAA